GGAAGUAUAGCUCAAUGGUAGAGCACUUGCCUCAUAUGCAAAAGGUGCUGGGUUCUAUCACCA
rnacentral:tRNA from 1 species